rnacentral:rRNA from 1 species
GACGAACGCUGGCGGCGUGCCUAAUACAUGCAAGUAGAACGCUGAAGGAGGAGCUUGCUCUUCUGGAUGAGUUGCGAACGGGUGAGUAACGCGUAGGUAACCUGCCUGGUAGCGGGGGAUAACUAUUGGAAACGAUAGCUAAUACCGCAUAAGAGUAGAUGUUGCAUGACAUUUACUUAAAAGGUGCAAUUGCAUCACUACCAGAUGGACCUGCGUUGUAUUAGCUAGUUGGUGGGGUAACGGCUUACCAAGGCGACGAUACAUAGCCGACCUGAGAGGGUGAUCGGCCACACUGGGACUGAGACACGGCCCAGACUCCUACGGGAGGCAGCAGUAGGGAAUCUUCGGCAAUGGACGGAAGUCUGACCGAGCAACGCCGCGUGAGGGAAGAAGGUUUUCGGAUCGUAAAGCUCUGUUGUAAGAGAAGAACGAGUGUGAGAGUGGAAAGUUCACUCUGUGACGGUAUCUUACCAGAAAGGGACGGCUAACUACGUG